AGUGGCGAACGGGUGAGUAAUACAUCGGAACGUGCCCAGUCGUAGGGGAUAACUACGCGAAAGCGUAGCUAAUCCCGCAUACGAUCUACGGAUGAAACCGGGGGAUCGCAAGACCUCGCGCGAUUGGAGCGGCCGAUGGCAGAUUAGGUAGUUGGUGGGGUAAAGGCUCACCAAGCCGACGAUCUGUAGCUGGUCUGAGAGGACGACCAGCCACACUGGGACUGAGACACGGCCCAGACUCCUACGGGAGGCAGCAGUGGGGAAUUUUGGACAAUGGGCGCAAGCCUGAUCCAGCCAUUCCGCGUGCAGGAUGAAGGCCCUCGGGUUGUAAACUGCUUUUGUACGGAACGAAACGCGCCGGGCUAAUACCUUGGCGUAAUGACGGUACCGUAAGAAUAAGCACCGGCUAACUACGUGCCAGCAGCCGCGGUAAUACGUAGGGUGCAAGCGUUAAUCGGAAUUACUGGGCGUAAAGCGUGCGCAGGCGGUGAUGUAAGACAGAUGUGAAAUCCCCGGGCUCAACCUGGGAACUGCAUUUGUGACUGCAUCGCUGGAGUGCGGCAGAGGGGGAUGGAAUUCCGCGUGUAGCAGUGAAAUGCGUAGAUAUGCGGAGGACACCGAUGGCGAAGGCAAUCCCCUGGGCCUGCACUGACGCUCAUGCA
rnacentral:rRNA from 1 species